AGUUCCUGUCCUGGGCUCAGGUGAGGCCGACUUCCCAUGUUCAUUGACACUGUAGCCCCCUAGAAGGAAAGUCAUGGCCUAUUGGGAGAAGAGACCUAAAAUGACUCCUUGUUCUGACACAGAGGGAUGCUUCCUAUAAAGACUUCUAUCUAUUAGUGAUCUAAAAUGAGACUGACUCUUGGUCCAGCUGUGACAGACUAAUUCAGAUGAAGGAAACCAGAAGAGACCAUCUUGGUGUUGUUAUUUAAUUUGAAGCUGAAAACAUCCACUGUGGUUGCCAAAGUUGGAGAAAGCAUAAAGAACCAGCCCAAGUACUACUACUGCAAGUAGUGUUGGCAGGUGUGGUCUCACACGUUCAAUGGACCUCUCACUUCAUGGAGAAAUAAAUACGUGAGAAUAAAAGGAUCUGCCCUAUCUCCUUGGUCAUUAUGCACAAAUAAAAAACUAUUCUGUGA